AGGCGGGAGCUGUGUCGGAGGAGGGACAGAGUACUGCAGUAGGGGUGGAGAGAACACCUAAAACGGAGGGAAGAGGGAAAAUGGAGCUGGUGCAGAGCCGCCCGCAGCGUUGCAGCGCUCAUACAGACAGAGGCCACCGAGAGCGAUGCUGGCUGUCCAGGCGGGUGGCCGUUUUUCUGCUCAUCGCGGUGCUGGUGAAGGGGCUACUCCUGGCCUUAGUCCUGUCACUGUUCAGCACGGGCGCGCCAGGGAC